CGCGUGUUGAGAGUCUCGAUGUAAGUACUUCAGCGGGAGGAGCGUAGCUAUACCUCAGUGAUGACGUACGGCAGAUGAGCACGCUACUCCGUGCCAGCAGCCGCGGUAUCCGGAGGGUGCAGCGUUAUCGGAUUACUGGGCGUAAGCGCACUCAGUCGUCUUCAAGUCGAAUGUGAAAUCCCCGGGCUCACCUGGAACUGCAUUCGAACUGGCAGCUAGAGUCUGUAGAGGGGGUAGAAUUCCAGUGGUAGCGGUGAAAUGCGUAGAGAUGUAGAGGACUACCGGUGGCGAAGGCGGCCCCUUGGACAAUGACUGACGCUCAGGUGCGAAAGCGUGGGGAGCAACCAGGAUUAGAUACCUUGUUAGUCCACGCGGUAAACGAUGUAGACUUGGAGGUUGUGCCCUUGAGGCGUGGCUUCCGGAGCUAACGCGUUAAGUCGACCGCCUGGGGAGUACGGCCGCAAGGUUAAAACUCAAAUGAAUUGACGGGGGCCCGCACAAGCGGUGGACCAUGUGGUUUAAUUGGAUGCAACGGGAAGACCUUUACAUACUCUUGACAUCCAGAGAAUUUACCAGAGAUGAUUUGGUCCUUUCGGGAAUUUUGAGCCAGGUGCUCCAUGGCUGUCGUCAGUUCGUGUUGUGAAAUGUUGGGUUAAGUCCCGCAACGAGCCCAACCUUUAUCCUUUGUUGCCACCGGUUAGGCCGGGCACUCAAAGGAGACUGCCAGUGAUAAACUGGAGGAAGGUGGGGAUGACGUCAAGUCAUCAUGGCCCUUACGAGUAGGGCUACACACGUGCUACAAUGGCGCAUACAAAGAGAAGCCAC
rnacentral:rRNA from 1 species